GACGAACGCUGGCGGCGUGCUUAACACAUGCAAGUCGAACGAUGAACUUGGAGCUUGCUCUGGGGGAUUAGUGGCGAACGGGUGAGUAACACGUGAGAAACCUGCCCUGGACUCUGGGAUAACUUCGAGAAAUCGGAGCUAAUACCGGAUAGGACCUUGCACCGCAUGGUGUGGGGUGGGAAGUUUUUCGGUUUGGGAUGGACUCGCGGCCUAUCAGCUUGUUGGUGAGGUAAUGGCUCACCAAGGCGUCGACGGGUAGCCGGCCUGAGAGGGUGACCGGCCACACUGGGACUGAGACACGGCCCAGACUCCUACGGGAGGCAGCAGUGGGGAAUAUUGCACAACGGGCGCAAGCCUGAUGCAGCAACGCCGCGUGCGGGAUGACGGCCUUCGGGUUGUAAACCGCUUUUAGUAGGGAAGAAGCCUUCGGGUGACGGUACCUGCAGAAAAAGGACCGGCUAACUACGUGCCAGCCGCCGCGGUAACAC
rnacentral:rRNA from 1 species